rnacentral:ncRNA from 1 species
GCAUUGUAUGGCUUCUAAACCAUUUAAAGUUUAUAAUUCAUUUUAUAAACGACAAUGGAUGUGAUGCCAAUGUAAUUUGUAACAUAGUAAAUUGGGAGGAUCUUCGAUCACCUGAUGCCGCGCUAGUUACAUAUAAAAACAUUAUUUAAUACAAUGACAAAGCCUAGAAUCAAUUGUAAACGACUUUUGUAACAGGCAAGGUGUUGUAAGUGGUUGAGCAGCUGCCAUACUGCGAUCCACUGAAGCUUAUCCUUUGCUUGAUGAUUC